rnacentral:rRNA from 1 species
AACGAACGCUGGCGGCAGGCUUAACACAUGCAAGUCGAGCGCGUAGCAAUACGAGCGGCAGACGGGUGAGUAACGCGUGGGAAUCUACCGUACCCUAUGGAAUAGCUCCGGGAAACUGGAAGUAAUACCAUAUACGCCCGAAAGGGGAAAGAUUUAUCGGGGUAUGAUGAGCCCGCGUUGGAUUAGGUAGGUGGUGGGGUAAAGGCCUACCAAGGCGACGAUCCCUAGCUGGUCUGAGAGGAUGAUCAGCCACAUUGGGACUGAGACACGGCCCAAACUCCUACGGGAGGCAGCAGUGGGGAAUAUUGGACAAUGGGCGCAAGCCUGAUCCAGCCAUGCCGCGUGAGUGAUGAAGGUCUUAGGAUUGUAAAGCUCUUUCACCGAUGAAGAUAAUGACGGUAGUCGGAGAAGAAGCCCCGGCAAACUUCGUGCCAGCAGCCGCCGUAACAC